AGUUCAAUCUGAUUAUGGUCUGUCUAAAUAUUUUGCCCCACAGAGAUAUGAUAUGAAGAUGUCUGUCCUCAGGAGCCAGAGAAAGAGAGAGCAUAAAGAAGGGAGGAGUAAUGAUGCUCGACAGUUGUGCUGUGGUUUGGCAUGGACUUCACAGCAUUGACGGAGGCCCAGGGGAAGCGCUCUAUUCACAGUGAUACGAGAUGGACGCUGUUGUGCUUGAUGAGGGAACAGCAGGAGGACUGAACUCAGAAGCUGUGUGAGCAUUUGCCAGGCCAAAGUUUAAUGCUGGUGUGUUGCAGAAUGAAUAUGAGUGUUGGGUCCCACUCGAAAUCUCUGCUGCAGGGAUAAUCCAAAGCAACAUGUAUGCAAACCCUCCUGAAAUCUUUGAAAAAAUCUAUAUAGGAGUGCAGGUUCGGUCCAAGGACAACACACUAAUACACACACACACCUUGAGCCAUCAGCUGCUGUUUAUCAAUCCUCAGUGCUGCAGGUCUGCAAGCAGCUACACCUCCAUCUCAAGCUGUCAGCUCUAACACACCAAACCAUCUGAUCGAGAGGGAAAAACAGGUGAAGAAGGAAUGGGAGGAAGAUAACAUCGUCAGAGAGCAUGCUAAAGAUGUAGGAAGAGCAGCAGAAACAGACGGAGCCUCCAAGAGACACAGACCGACUGCUGAGCAACUGCUGUAAUGAAAUAAAGAUGUUCUGGAAUGAUGCCUGGCGCUCUGGACACCAGCAGGGAUCUUCACAGAAUAAACCUCUUACAGGCUGGACUGGACUGAACCAGUCUCUCUAAAGCAAAUCACUCCACUCGGCAGUCAUCUCAGCUAU